UGUAUUCGGUUUGUUUUUCCCGCUGUACUUUCUCUUCAGUGCAAAACUUCAUUUCGAUUGCCCUUCAGUCGUGUUGAGGUAGUUGGGUAAAGCUCAAGUUGUUCACGUUUCUCAUUCACUCACUGUCAUUCACAUCUUCUUUUUCUCUCUCGCACAUCAGAGAGCAUUUCUGUGCGUCGUCUUCCUCGAGAUUUCAGUGGCUCGAGAGCUCAUCCUUCACCAUCACAGAGCAUCUUCCUCACUUUCAGGUGGAAGCUUUAGAAGUUAAGUUGACUCAAAAUGAAGGAGAAUUGAGAAUUUUGAAGUGAAGAAGCUAGUAAACUUUCUCAAACAGAAGAAGGAAGAAGAAGAUGGUGAUAAUAAUAUUAGAGGCAUUCAUGAGGGUAAGGUUAAGGAGGAAGACACUAAAGGUGCCCAUGGCUCAGCUUCUUCCAAAGACACUGUAUUUGUUCAAAAUGUUCAAAAUGGUUCCUUGGGAUCCUUUACAAAGGCAACAGGACAAAAGCCUUUAAGAAUUAUAUUUUAUAGGUAUGUAUUUUUCAUGUAUGUUAAUAUUAUGCAGGUGGGAGAGCUUGCAGGAAUAGCAGUGGGAGCCAGUGAUGCUUAACAUACUUAUAGUCGGGUAUAAGUUCCAACUUAUUAUUCAAACACAUACUACAGUAUUAAUUAACAAUUAUUGGUGCAUCAGGGUGGGUUUCUGCAUAAAAGAAAAGAAAAUAGAAAACAUAGUAAAAAGCACAUGGGUCACUAGUGUAAGAUCCUUGAAAAUAUUUGUAAGUUAGAUACUAGAUAAAAAAAAAAAUUAAAAAAAAAAUAGUAAAUAGUAAAUUAUGAAUAUAAAUUGUGAAUAGUAAAAAGUGAAUAGUAAAAAGAAAAAAAAAAUUAUUUUUGGAAAGGAUAAGUAUUACACGUAGCUUUGAGAUCAGAAUUCACCAAUUUGCAAAUAAAAAAUUAUUUUUGUAAUAGUAAAAUGAAUAAAAAAAUGAAUAGUACAAAUGAAUAGUAAAAAUGAAUAGUAAAUUUUUUUACUAUAAAUAGCCAAGGGGGGAGGCUGAAAAUUUACACCAAAGAACUUAGAAAAAUGUUGAGAGAAGAGAGUUGGAAGAAUUUCUAAUUGCAAAGGGGAUAUUCUGGAAGUUUUCAGAGAGCGAGGAGAUUAAGUCUGUAAUAGAGGUAAGGGAAGCCACUCCUAUACUUUGCUUUUCUCUAAUCCUAAAUCUUGAAUAUGUAGUAUUUUGUUGCUGUAUGGUCUUGAAUUUUGAAUGAGAACAUUUAUUUGUUUCUUUUGUAUUUUUGGAAGGACGAGAAGUUGUCUAACCGGCUCUGCCAGAUUCAACUUCUUGUUUCCCCAAAGCUUUGGUUGUUUCUUAUAUCUUUAUAUGGUAUUUUUGGAAGGACGAGAAGUUGUCUAACCGGCUCUGCCAGAUUCAACUUCUUGUUUCCCCAAAACUUUGGUUGUUUCUUAUAUCUUUAUAUUGUAUUUUUGGUAGGACGAGAAGUUGUCUAACCGGCUCUGCCAGAUUCAACUUCUUGUUUCCCCAAAGCUUUUGUUGUUUUUUUUUUAUAUCUUUAUAUUGUAUUUUUGGAAGGAUGUGAAGUUGUCUAACCGGCUCUGCCAGAUUCAACUUCUUGUUUCCCCAGAAAUUUUAUUGUGUUAUCUAUUCUUUUUAUUUCAUCUUUGUGGAAGGAUGAGAAGUUGUCUAACCGGCUCUGCUAGAUUCAACUUCUUGUUUCCCCUGAAUUUUUAUAUUAAUAUUAUUUUGAUGGUAAGGGCAACUAAUUAUUUUUGUAUGAAUUUAUAAAUAUACGAAUGUUGAACUGGUGUUCUCUUGCGAAACUGUUUUAUGACUUUUAUUAUAUUGGGUGUUAUAACUGAAACUGUUAAAUUGUACAUGUUAUGAUGUGAUGAAUUUAUUGAAUGAGUUUGUUGGCUGAAAUUGAUCUUGUUGGAAGGUCUGGAGUAAGAGUUCUGUAAUAGCUUAUAUAUGAGUAUUAAAUAGAUAUACAGGUACUGUUUGAGGUUGUUUUGAGAGGAAGUAAAAAUAUUAAAAUUAGACAUUUUAGAUUUAGAGCAUAAGACAACAAGGUAGAUAAAUUAAAUAAAUAAAUUGAUUAAUUAUUGAGGGCCUCCCUUUGUUGGUAGGAUAGAGGAACCUUAAAAACCUGAGUUGGCACAUCCCUGAUCAUAGAGCAGCCCUGGCCUGGUCCAGUCAGUUGUGACUAGUCAUAUGUGCUGGCGUCGAAGGUGAGUUUGAUGCGUUCAGACAUCUGGGUCCUCUCCGGUGACCAAUUGGGGUAAAGAAAAAAUCUCUACUAGGAUGAAAAUAAAAUAAAACAAGUUGAUUGUAGAUGCAUAAUAUUAUCAUGGUAAAAAUUUCAUAUAUAUUUUAUUUAUCAUUACAUUGAGCCCAGACUUUAAUAUGUAGUUUCUAUGAUAUGUUGAUCCAUGAUCUUUGUUUGGUGAAAAUAUGUUGAAUUAUACUCGUUAUGGGCAAAAUGAGUUUAUAAUAUGAAGCAUGAUAUAUGGAAAUAUGUUUAAUUUAUUGAUACCAAAACAGGUUAUUAUGAAUUCAUGAUUAAAGAAUGAACAUGAUUGAGUUAGGUGGAUAAGAGGGUAUGAAUUGUUGGUUUUAUGAAAUGUUGGAGUGGAUAUGAGAAAUCAUUACUUAUGAAAUGAUGUUUACUACCGGGAGUAGUAUGUUCGAGUUAUACCAUGAGAGUUUGGUAUGAGCAAUGUAACACGUGAGGUUUAUGAAAGCAGGCAGAAAGUGGUCUGACCAUAAGGCUUUGACAUAAACAUAUGAUUCGUAAGUUAUAUAGAAGCAGGCAGAGAGGGGUCUGACCAUAAGGCUUCAGAAAGUAAGACAUAGUAUAUAAGUGAGGCUUAAGGAAGCAGGCAGAGAGCGGUCUGACCAUAAGGCUUCAUGAGUAAGCAUGGUACACUUGUAAGAUUUAUGGAAAUGGGAAAGAUGAUUUUGAUAAUGAUGAAUUAAUGAUAUCGGAAUAAUGAUAUUUUAUCAAUUGUAGAAAUACAUGAUUAUAAUAUUUUUAUUACAAGUUUAAUGAUUUUAUGAUAUGGUUGGCUUACCCUUAUUUGUUUGUACUAUGAUCAUAUAACUCAUGUUAUAUGUGAUUAGAUAAUGUUGCAGAUGCGGUUGAAAAAGCUUAGAGAUGAGAGAGAUGCGGGGAAAAACUUUCAGGGAUUUUUGUAAAAAUAAUAAAUUUGUAUUGGGAAGAUUAUGUUGUGUAAAACUUAUAAGUUGAAAUUUCAAUGGUGAAGACUAUAUUGUUUAAAGUUUGAAAGUUUGGUAUUGUACUUUGGAGUAAUUGAAAUAAAGUUUGAUUGUUUAUAUGAGA